AUCUCCUCCAUAUUCAAAUCCUCCUUUUUCACAUUAUUAGGUAAUCUCCAAUUAAAUCCAUGCAACAAAUUAGCCAAACUUGAUUGUAUCACCUUAAGACCAAGAGGAUAACCAGGACACAUCCUUCUACCAGUACCAAAUGGCAACAACUCAUAAUCAUGUCCUUUUACAUCUAUAUUAUUACCAAUAAACCUCUCAGGUAUAAACUCAUAUGGAUUGUCCCAAACAUUAGGAUCUCUUCCAAUUGUCCAAGUAUUGACAAGAAUUAG
rnacentral:lncRNA from 1 species